GAGCUUGCUCUGUGGAUCAGUGGCGAACGGGUGAGUAACACGUGAGCAACCUGCCCCUGACUCUGGGAUAAGCGCUGGAAACGGCGUCUAAUACCGGAUAUGAGCUGCGAUCGCAUGGUCAGCAGUUGGAAAGAUUUUUCGGUCUGGGAUGGGCUCACGGCCUAUCAGCUUGUUGGUGAGGUAAUGGCUCACCAAGGCGUCGACGGGUAGCCGGCCUGAGAGGGUGACCGGCCACACUGGGACUGAGACACGGCCCAGACUCCUACGGGAGGCAGCAGUGGGGAAUAUUGCACAAUGGGCGAAAGCCUGAUGCAGCAACGCCGCGUGAGGGAUGACGGCCUUCGGGUUGUAAACCUCUUUUAGCAGGGAAGAAGCGAAAGUGACGGUACCUGCAGAAAAAGCGCCGGCUAACUACGUGCCAGCAGCCGCGGUAAUACGUAGGGCGCAAGCGUUAUCCGGAAUUAUUGGGCGUAAAGAGCUCGUAGGCGGUUUGUCGCGUCUGCUGUGAAAUCCCGAGGCUCAACCUCGGGUCUGCAGUGGGUACGGGCAGACUAGAGUGCGGUAGGGGAGAUUGGAAUUCCUGGUGUAGCGGUGGAAUGCGCAGAUAUCAGGAGGAACACCGAUGGCGAAGGCAGAUCUCUGGGCCGUUACUGACGCUGAGGAGCGAAAGGGUGGGGAGCAAACAGGCUUAGAUACCCUGGUAGUCCACCCCGUAAACGUUGGGAACUAG
rnacentral:rRNA from 1 species